GCCAGCAUGGCAGAGUGGUUUAAGCAAUGGACUGCAAAUCUGGAGACCAGGGUUCAAUUCCCAGCUCAGCCG